rnacentral:rRNA from 1 species
ACGCUGGCGGCAGGCUUAACACAUGCAAGUCGAACGGUAACAGGGAUUAGCUUGCUAAUUUGCUGACGAGUGGCGGACGGGUGAGUAAUGCUUGGGAAUCUGGCUUAUGGAGGGGGAUAACUACGGGAAACUGUAGCUAAUACCGCGUAAUAUCGGAAGAUUAAAGGGUGGGACUUUCGAGCCACCUGCCAUAAGAUGAGCCCAAGUGGGAUUAGGUAGUUGGUUAGGUAAAGGCUGACCAAGCCGACGAUCUCUAGCUGGUCUGAGAGGAUGACCAGCCACACUGGAACUGAGACACGGUCCAGACUCCUACGGGAGGCAGCAGUGGGGAAUAUUGCACAAUGGGGGGAACCCUGAUGCAGCCAUGCCGCGUGAAUGAAGAAGGCCUUCGGGUUGUAAAGUUCUUUCGGUGACGAGGAAGGUUGAUAGGUUAAUAGCCUAUCAAAUUGACGUUAAUCACAGAAGAAGCACCGGCUAACUCCGUGCCAGCAGCCGCGGUAAUACGGGGGGUGCGAGCGUUAAUCGGAAUAACUGGGCGUAAAGGGCACGCAGGCGGUGACUUAAGUGAGAUGUGAAAGCCCCGAGCUUAACUUGGGAAUUGCAUUUCAUACUGGGUCGCUAGGGUACUUUAGGGAGGGGUAGAAUUCCACGUGUAGCGGUGAAAUGCGUAGAGAUGUGGAGGAAUACCGAAGGCGAAGGCAGUCCCUUGGGAAUGUACUGACGCUCAUGUGCGAAAGCGUGGGGAGCAAACAGGAUUAGAUACCCUGGUAGUCCACGCUGUAAACGAUGUCGAUUUGGGGAUUGGGCUUUGAGCUUGGUGCCCGUAGCUAACGUGAUAAAUCGACCGCCUGGGGAGUACGGCCGCAAGGUUAAAACUCAAAUGAAUUGACGGGGGCCCGCACAAGCGGUG